rnacentral:rRNA from 1 species
GACGAACGCUGGCGGCGUGCCUAAUACAUGCAAGUCGAACGCAGUGGGGACGGGUGAGUAACACGUGGGUAACCUCCCAUCAGAGGGGAUAACCCUUGGAAACAGGUGCUAAACCGCUACUGAUGGAUGGACCCGCGGUGCAUUAGCUAGUUGGUGAGGUAACGGCUGACCAAGGCCACGAGGCAUAGCCGACGUAAGAGAGAGAUCGGCCAAACUGGGACGGAGACAAGGCCCAGACUCCUACGGGAGGCAGCAGUAGGGAAACUUCGGCAAUGGACGAAAGUCUGACCGAGCAACGCGGCGUGAGUGAAGAAGGGUUUCGGAGCGUAAACUCCUUUUGUUAGGGAAGCGGUACCUAACGAAUAAGCACCGGCUAACUACGUGCCAGCAGCCGCGGUAAUAC